rnacentral:rRNA from 1 species
AAAUUGAAGAGUUUGAUCAUGGCUCAGAUUGAACGCUGGCGGCAGGCCUAACACAUGCAAGUCGAACGGUAGCACAGAGAGCUUGCUCUCGGGUGACGAGUGGCGGACGGGUGAGUAAUGUCUGGGAAACUGCCCGAUGGAGGGGGAUAACUACUGGAAACGGUAGCUAAUACCGCAUAACGUCGCAAGACCAAAGUGGGGGACCUUCGGGCCUCACACCAUCGGAUGUGCCCAGAUGGGAUUAGCUAGUAGGUGGGGUAACGGCUCACCUAGGCGACGAUCCCUAGCUGGUCUGAGAGGAUGACCAGCCACACUGGAACUGAGACACGGUCCAGACUCCUACGGGAGGCAGCAGUGGGGAAUAUUGCACAAUGGGCGCAAGCCUGAUGCAGCCAUGCCGCGUGUAUGAAGAAGGCCUUCGGGUUGUAAAGUACUUUCAGCGAGGAGGAAGGCGUUGUGGUUAAUAACCACAGCGAUUGACGUUACUCGCAGAAGAAGCACCGGCUAACUCCGUGCCAGCAGCCGCGGUAAUACGGAGGGUGCAAGCGUUAAUCGGAAUUACUGGGCGUAAAGCGCACGCAGGCGGUUUGUUAAGUCAGAUGUGAAAUCCCCGGGCUCAACCUGGGAACUGCAUUUGAAACUGGCAAGCUUGAGUCUCGUAGAGGGGGGUAGAAUUCCAGGUGUAGCGGUGAAAUGCGUAGAGAUCUGGAGGAAUACCGGUGGCGAAGGCGGCCCCCUGGACAAAGACUGACGCUCAGGUGCGAAAGCGUGGGGAGCAAACAGGAUUAGAUACCCUGGUAGUCCACGCCGUAAACGAUGUCUACUUGGAGGUUGUGCCCUUGAGGCGUGGCUUCCGGAGCUAACGCGUUAAGUAGACCGCCUGGGGAGUACGGCCGCAAGGUUAAAACUCAAAUGAAUUGACGGGGGCCCGCACAAGCGGUGGAGCAUGUGGUUUAAUUCGAUGCAACGCGAAGAACCUUACCUGGUCUUGACAUCCACGGAAGUUUUCAGAGAUGAGAAUGUGCCUUCGGGAACCGUGAGACAGGUGCUGCAUGGCUGUCGUCAGCUCGUGUUGUGAAAUGUUGGGUUAAGUCCCGCAACGAGCGCAACCCUUAUCCUUUGUUGCCAGCGGUUAGGCCGGGAACUC